ACUCGUGAUUUUAACAACCUUGGU
rnacentral:miRNA from 1 species